AGUGAACGCUGGCGGUAGGCCUAACACAUGCAAGUCGAACGGCAGCACAGUAAGAGCUUGCUCUUACGGGUGGCGAGUGGCGGACGGGUGAGGAAUACAUCGGAAUCUACUUUUUCGUGGGGGAUAACGUAGGGAAACUUACGCUAAUACCGCAUACGACCUACGGGUGAAAGCGGGGGUUCUUCGGACCUUGCGCGAUUGAAUGAGCCGAUGUCGGAUUAGCUAGUUGGCGGGGUAAAGGCCCACCAAGGCGACGAUCCGUAGCUGGUCUGAGAGGAUGAUCAGCCACACUGGAACUGAGACACGGUCCAGACUCCUACGGGAGGCAGCAGUGGGGAAUAUUGGACAAUGGGCGCAAGCCUGAUCCAGCCAUACCGCGUGGGUGAAGAAGGCCUUCGGGUUGUAAAGCCCUUUUGUUGGGAAAGAAAAGCAGCAGGUUAAUACCCCGCUGUUCUGACGGUACCCAAAGAAUAAGCACCGGCUAACUUCGUG
rnacentral:rRNA from 1 species